rfam:Schistosoma rodhaini strain Burundi genome assembly, scaffold: SROB_scaffold0005388
AUCCGGCUGAAGAGUCCCAAACAGGACGAAACGCGCGUCCUGGAU